rnacentral:piRNA from 1 species
UCAAACUAAAUAAGGCUUGGA